UACAGAGGGUGCAAACGUUGCUCGGAAUCAUUGGGCGUAAAGCGCACGUAGGCGGCCCAGCAAGCGGGGAGUGAAAGCCCUCGGCUUAACCGAGGAAGUGCUUUCCGAACUACUGGGCUUGAAUACUGGAGAGGGUCGCGGAAUUCCCGGUGUAGAGGUGAAAUUCGUAGAUAUCGGGAGGAACACCAGUGGCGAAGGCGGCGACCUGGACAGAUAUUGACGCUGAGGUGCGAAAGCGUGGGGAGCAAACAGG
rnacentral:rRNA from 1 species